rnacentral:rRNA from 1 species
ACAAAGAGCAGCAAGUUCGCGAGGACAAGCAAAUCUCAUAAACCGUGGCUCAGCUCAGAUCGUAGGCUGCAACUCGCCUACGUGAAGGAGGAAUCGCUAGUAAUCGCAGGUCAGCAUACUGCGGUGAAUACGUUCCCGGGCCUUGUACACACCGCCCGUCACACCAUGGAAGUUGGCCACGCCCGAAGCCGUUACUCCAACCCUUGUGGAGGAGGACGUCGAAGGUGGGGCUGAUGACUGGGGUGAAGUCGUAACAAGGUAGCCGUACCGGAAGGUGCGGCUGGAUCACCUCCUAAC